AAAAAUAAGAAAUCAGGAAGGGGGCAAACACUUUUUCACACAAUUGUAUAUGAUGAAACCACUGUCUGACAGGCCCCUUGCUGUCUGAAGAGGAUCAAGACUAAAUGAUUAGAGCCAGAAACUUAAAACAAAUACAGUUUAAAGGGGAUGUUUGCAGAAAUAUCUGUAAUUUUUUGGUAGUUUUCUCUUCUGUGAGUUAUAAGUCAUUUGACUCUGUGUUAUUGUGAACUGACUUUCAUUGUGUUUUAGACUAAAAAAGAAGACACAUCACCUUUUUUUAUAGCAAUAACGAUUAAAUAAAAGAGUAAUUUACAGAAGAAUUGAUAAUGAGAAUAAUCCUUUGUUGCUGGCCAAGGUUAUUACCCAAACUGUUCAAAAAUGAGUGUUUGUUCUAAUUCAGCUCUGAUGAACUUAGACAGUGAGAAGAGAUGUUCAUUCUUCUUUGGGAACAGUAGUAAAGACAAUUUCAAGCUUAAUGGUCCAAUUCGUAGCUUUAUCCAGAGCUUUCAACUGCAUGUCACACUCUUGAACGAAUGGAGCAGUUUUACUUGUCAUUACAUGACCACCUGUGGGUUUUGAAGUGUGGUCAUUGUUCUAAGAAGGUCUGGUGUUGGAUGUGAUUGAAUGUCUAAUGACUAAUGGUCGAUGACCUUUGACUUGACUAGUUGAGGUUGUGAUUUGUUUUGGUCUGGUGUUCACAGAGAGCCAGUUGACCAAAAGUUCACUAUGGCUUAUGGUGAACCUGAGUCAGUUCCAUGAAGAUUGUGAGACGUGGCUGACAACAACAAAAAAAAACAUGAAUAAGCUGAAAGAUAAAAUAAAGGUUUGGAGUUACUUCUGACCAACCUCAUAUACGCCAAAGCUUUUACCAACAUCACUAAAAUUGAAUAUGUUCCAGUAAAAUGGCUGAGAGGAAAGAUGGACAGAAGUAUGAAAAUAUAAUGAAAACUACAAGAAACAAAAACAAUUUUUUUGUAUACGGUCGUAAGAGAUUCUAGACAUUUCUCCUAAAUAGAGAAAACGGAUUGCAGUUUGCAAGGAUUGCACUUGCUGAAAUCAUUUCAUUUAAGUCGAUGCUAACAUAUAAAUAGAACAGGAGAAGAAAUGGUGUUUCCUUUAUUUUGGCAGCCCCCUAACUUUGUUAUAUUUUUCUGUUCAUUCAUUUCUCUCUUAAGUCCGUUCCAGGGCUAACGUAUAAAUUAGACAAAUAAUAUCCCAUUUCAGAAGUUUUUAAAUAUUCCCUUCAUUCCUUGUUGUACUCCCUUUUUUUAAUCUUCCCUUCCUUUUUUCUUCCUGCUUCUUUAAUGGUGUGUUGAGGUGCAGUCGUAUAGAUUGGAAAAAAGACCUCCCUCAUCAUAACCUCAGCCUAAUUUCUAAACUUUGACAGCUGCAAAUAAACUGCCAGCUGGCAAGAAACUGAGUUGUAAAGAACAUUUUUUAUGUCCAGAUUUCAGUCUGCAGUUGGUUUGCCUUAUGGCCUUUAAUGCUUUUCGCUCAACCACUGGACUAGAUUUUACAGAAUAGUGAGGAUAAACAUGUCAUAGUUGUUCUGGUCUUUUGUUGCUAUAUAAAGCUCGUCCGACCAACCUGCCCUGUUGAAAACACCUCUUUUAUUGAUAAAGUUUAUUUUUAACAACAAAUUUUGUGUUGGAAAUGAUCACAUCUUAACUUCCAUAGUACUAUAUUUCCCAUGAAUUGGCCUGCUCUAGCUGUAAGAUAUUGCUCAAUGUUUAUAUGUGAAAGCCGAAUGAUAAACAAAGUGCUGAAGCCUCAGGACAGUAACAUCGGAACAACACAUUUUUGGCUCUCGCAACUACAUAGCCCAUGAUGCUUUGACACAGCCUUCAGAUGGAUUUCAUACAGUCACAGCCAAAAAUAUUGUCACCUGUGGACAUUUUUUUGCUGUCAGAAAAAAUAUUUUGGUAUUUAUUCCAGUUUGCCCAGUCACACUCUGUUUGCCAGUGCUACAUUAGUUAGCCUAAAGAGCAACACACCUCUACAUAAUGUAAUAACAAUGUAUAAAUAUCAAGAAAUAUUAACAGCACCGUAGUUAAUAUUACCAUAGUUAGUUAGUUACCAUAGGCCUAUGUUGAUAACUAAAGUACGUUUACACUGUCAAGUAAAUCAUAUUAAUGUAGCACCAAAUCGCAACAGAAUUGAUCUCAUGACACUUCUUUUCAAAACAGGUCUAAACCAUACUCCUUACAGAGACCUAGCAGGGGAUGAGCAACUUGCCUGUGGUACCAGUGGAAUCUGUAGAAAACACGCAACAAAUAUUUUUAUACAAACACAACAUUCAGCAUCCGUUUUGUUGUAGGUCACAAUACUGUGCAAAAAACUAACAAGAUUAUUGAAAGUUGUUUUGGUAGAACCAAGAAUCUACAAAACACAUCUUUUAAAUAUGCAGAGUAUUAUUCCUCUUUCGCCAUAAAACCAAAUCCAAACAAUGCACAAACAAAACGAGGAAUUGAUAUUAUUGUGAAAUGUUACACAUUUGUUUAUUUAUAAGGAAUCCUAUUGUAAAUAUCUGAACACAUUUUCUUGAUAAAUAUGUUGCUAUAAACUAAGAUGUUUCAAUGUUUCUAUAUCAGACUUGCAGUAAUAGCAGAGUGUGAUAUAUUAAUUGGAAGGAUACAUUUCAGAUAGAGGUACUUUGAAUUUAAGCAUUAUGGGGUAUAAAUAGUGUAACUGUCAUAUUGCAAUGUGUUUUUGUACAAAAUCCAUUAAAUUACUGCCGAGGUACACACAUUUUCUGAAAUAAUUUCUUAGUAUACUCUAUGUAUUACAUUUUUGGUCCAUAACAUGAAUCAUUGUAAUGAUCAGGUUGAAUAUCAUUAUUUCAAUAAUCUCUAGUCAAAUUAGAUAGCAAAUAAAAGAUAAAACCCAAGCAUCCUUUGAAAAGUGGUAAUUGUGAGAUUAUGAAUGUUUUUCUACUUCUCGUGUACGGUAGCGUAUUGCAUUCACAAAAGAAAACAAAUUAUACACUUUAUCUCAUGAGUUGCCAUCUCAUAAUUUCAAAAGAAAAUCUCAUAAUUAUGACAAAAGAUUUCGUAAUUAUGAGAAGGAUUUUGGCCACUCUAUACUACAAAAUAAUUAAGAUAUGCCUUUCCCAAUAAAACUUCAACAAAAUUAUGCCUGAGCACAUUUUUCUAUAAGUGUUGUAGAACAAGGAGUAGAUAAUUGCUGUAUGAAGUGAUUUUAGUGUAGUUACACUGCACUGCAUGCCAUUGAAGUUAUUGAAUAUGUUUGCUGUAUGUCUUUUCAGCUUUACACCUUCACACAGUCUGCUGCACACAGUAGACAAUAUAUUUGUCCAGCAGACCAAUUACUAGAUCGUUGUCUACCUUUCUACGGUUGCAAAAAGGCAUCGUUUGUGUUUUCAUAUUUUUUUGCUUACGAGUUAUUGAUCCGGGAAGUCUGAAUCUGUGAAUAUCUUUCCAACUUUACCGAAAAAAAGCUACCCUUACCCUUAACUUUGUCAUAAUUACGAAAUACUGAUCUCAUAUUUACGAGAUAUUUUGUCAUAAUUACGAUAUCUUAAUUACACGUUAUUUUCUUUUUAUCACGAAACAGUAACUCAUAAUUACUACCUGGUGUCUAACUUUUUUUUUUUCAUUUGUGAGUGCAAUGCGCUUCCUUACUAGUGUUAUUAUUACAGGAAGAUAUGGGAAGCGAAUUCUGCCCAAUCAGAUCCGAAAACAGUUCGCGUCACCCAAUCUCCGCCGCCAUGAUUCUUAAUGACAGUGAGUGAAGGCUGUGUGAAGGGUGAAGAACUAUACAUCCACGUUGAGGAGGAGCAACAUCGGAGCUUCGUGGAGUAAAGGUCCGGGCGUCAGUGGGUGUCGUCCGGGCAGCCGCCAUGGUUCAGACGUGUUCAGCAUACGGCUGUAAGAACCGCUACCAUAAAGACAAAGACAUUUCAUUCCACAAGUUUCCUCUGGCACGCCCAGAUGUUAGUGCUAAAUGGGUGGCGGCGAUGAGGAGGAACAACUUUAAGCCAACAAAGUACAGUAACAUCUGCUCGCAGCACUUCACCAAAGACUGCUUCAAGAGAGAGUGCAACAACCGAGUGCUGAAGGAGAAUGCUGUGCCGUCGCUCUUCACCUUCAACCUCAACAUCAAGGCGGAGUCCCUGGAGAAUCCCUUCCCCUCAGAAAUCCACUUCCCUCUGACCUCUGACCCGGUGGUAGAGGAGGAGGAGCCAGCGAGAAGCCUGCCCGAAAUCCGGUGCGACACAGUGGCAGUCUCCUGCGACCACAACUACACAGCGGAGGAUUCUGCUAGGCAGAAGAAGCGCAUGGAGCAGCUCGAGGAGCAGUUGGGGAGUCUGAGGAAGAAGCUGAAGACGACGCAGCAGAAGUGUCGGCGGCAGGAGAGAGAGCUAAAGAGACUGAAGGCGGCAUGUGAGACACCAAGGACCGGCCGCGAGCUGCCAGCAGCUCUCGGAGAGGGAUAUGUGAUUUUACCGAAACACGUCUACUACACACUCAAAGACAUUAAGUAACACGUGACAGAGAUAGGGGAGAUGAGUGUGGUCAAACUGAGCAGCAGAUAAAAGAUCUGCUGUAGGUUCAAUCUCACAUGUCUCAGCAGCAUCAGCCAGGCGGACUGUUGAAGAGCUGUUGAGCAAGGCAGCAAAGCCCCGAGCUGAGAGCUGAAGGACCUUGUUCGGGAAUACAAAUGCAUGAUGUGGAAAACUUGAAUCUGAUUUGGUGGAUAUAACAAACUCCUUGCGUAUUCUUUUUCUUCUUCUGUUUGGGCUGUGGUGAAAUUACUUUAAUUAAUCUCGCUUUAAAGAAGACCUUUAUGCGUAUUCUUAUUUAAUAAUUAGUUAAUUUAUAAUGUUACAAUGUCUGAUGUUCAUAUUAAAUGUGCCAAAGUGUCAAAUAAUGAGGUAAAAGUAUUUCCUGUGAGCAAAAACAUCAGGCUUCUGACCAUUGUGAACAUUGUUUCCAACAAUGUUUUUUUACUUUGGUCAGUUCGUGCCAGAUUUCUUUAUAUGGUCAUCUAUUCCAGGCAAAGCGCUCCUGUGAAGUACAGGGAGGCGCCCAACUCAUAGUUCACGCCACUUCUCAGAGGACUCUUUCGUCAACGCACCACGGUAUGUAGCCAGAUUUUCAGCUAAGCAUAUGCUAACAGACGGGUCGAUCUAUAAAGGGCCCUGUUGACGAGUCAGCGCAAACUGUAAGUAAAACUAUCUGAAAUGUUUCUCUUGUAUUGAUGAUCGGACUAAAUUGCUUAUGAACACAGUUUCAGUGCAAACAAUGGGCAUAUACAAUAUGGAUCAAUUGAUUUAGGGAGCUAACAGUGAUUUGCACACCUAAAUGGUUGAAAUAGUUAGCUUUAAGUGAUUGAUACACAGUUGAAACGUCUGACAGGGCUGUUUGGGUACCUCAAACCAACUUGUUAACUUAUAGACACCGUUAUUUUAUGUAGAACAAACAUUAUUGUAUAAUAUUAUUUCUGAAGACUAAAGUUAUUUAUUGUCCCAAAUAUCGUACACCACAACCGAUGUUUGAACAUAGGACAGACACACCGCAUGCCAAACUGAUCCUGAACUCACAGUCACUGUUGCAAUGCAGUUCUUCCCCCAGAUGGUAUGAUAAUAAUUUUCCUAAGUGACUCCUACCAGAGGGAUGGGAGAGUGGUGGUGGCUGGGUUCAGUUGGUGUGGUCUCUACCCUCUGGACCCAAUGGCCAUUGAUGGUCAAGGGUCACUGUCCUGGCCUUGGUGUAGGACCAUCCUCACCACCUCCGCCAAACCCAUCACCAUCUUCCUGGGCUGCGCCUGAUGUUACCCACCUCUCCAGACAUCUCUAUCCCCUGUUGGCCCUGUCAUAGAGUGUCAGCGUUAAGCAGCCAUCCCCUGAACCCUACCCCAACCCAGAAUACCCAGAACCCCCCCGUCACCUCCUCCUCCCCCAAUAAUAAGCCACCCAUCCCGUGGUAACAUCAGGCCAGAUAAGAGUAGAUCUGGCCCACCUCCUGGCUGAGGAGGCAGAGGACUGUGCGAUGCCCAAGCGCUGGCCAAAAGAGGCCGAAGACACCAGCCGGGUAGCCACUUCCCCUACCUGCCGGGCGUCUCGAGGCUGCCCCAGCCACCAGCUCCGGCCUUUCCAUCGCUGGCCCCUCAACCUGCUCUGCCCCUUCUGACAAGUCCCUGUCUGCCCGCCAUCAGCGGCAUACUAUCACCAAUGAUCCUGCCUAUUGAGGGACAUCACCAACUUCACCCAACUCCUGGUCAGCGAGGUAAUGAUAAAGCCUAUCUUUUAUACUUUUUGAUUCAAAUAAAUAACAAAAUAUAUUUACUAUUGUGAUGCCCAGACAUUGUUAUGAGUAUGUUUUAUUAGUGUUAUAAUAAUAAGAUGUGAUUAUUUUAGAGCCUUCAAAACCGGCAGUGGGAUGUGGCCUCUGAAGGUCCCAAACUCCUUCCUCUCCCUCCUACUGUAAAUGCUUUGUAUAAUCUGUAAAAACAAGCAACAUUUUAACACGUUGGUGACAUUAAGAGUAAACAAAAGACGUUUAAGAUUUGUCUGUUAUUUAUACAGCCUCCCAACCUCCAGACCAGACCCUUAUCAUGUAGCUCCUCGUCUUCUGGAUCCAUGACAUCCCCGCUAGUGUACUUAAUGUAUACAUUAACAAUGUUAAUGUCUUUGCACGCCAACCCAUGACAAUCAGACAAUUUUCUUUAAAGGAACAGUGUGUAACAUUUAGGGGGAUUAAUUGGCAGCAUUGGAAUAUAAUAUUCAUAACUAUGU